CCCCCCAGUCCCUCCAGACGCCCACGCCCCGCUGCGCGUGCACCGUGUGACCACGCGGAGUCCCAGCCACGCGAUGUGGCCUACCCAGCGCUCCACAUGCCUCAAGCAAUGCGGCAGCGCCACGUGGAUCCAAGCCCCAACACUCAGGCAUAAGUAUCGGUUGAAGCUGGACCUGGUGGUGCACGCCUGUAAUCCCAGCAUUUGAGAGGCUGAGGCAGGAGGAUCGCUAUGAGUUUGAG
rnacentral:lncRNA from 1 species